UACGUAGGGUGCAAGCGUUGUCCGGAAUUAUUGGGCGUAAAGAGCUCGUAGGCGGUCUGUCGCGUCGGCUGUGAAAUCCCGAGGCUCAACCUCGGGUCUGCAGUCGAUACGGGCAAACUGGAGUGUUGCAGGGGAGACUGGAAUUCCUGGUGUAGCGGUGAAAUGCGCAGAUAUCAGGAGGAACACCGGUGGCGAAGGCGGGUCACUGGACCACAACUGACGCUGAGGCGCGAAAGCUAGGGGAGCAAACAGG
rnacentral:rRNA from 1 species